rnacentral:rRNA from 1 species
GUGUGAAUUGCAGAAUCCCGUGAACCAUCGAGUUUUUGAACGCAAGUUGCGCCCGAAGCCAUUAGGUCGAGGGCACGUCUGCCUGGGCGUCUCAC